rnacentral:lncRNA from 1 species
GCCCAGCGAGUCCUUAUAUGGGCCGCGGCUGGACUUUACACGACGAUAUUUUUUGAAGGAGACAACGUUCUUCGCAUGUUCUUCUUCUUUAUCAUCCUCAUAAUCUUUGUUAACACAAUGAGGUAGAGAGAAGGAGAUAAGUGUGGGGUGAGAGAUUAGAUGAUAAUAUUUCUUUUUGCAUGAAAAAUAACAGGUCAUGCAAGAAAGAGGGGGUGAGGGGAUUAAUGGUAGAGGGGAGUAGAUUGGUAUUACAAAGCUCACUAAUUGAUGAAAUAUAAUGCAUGUAAUUAAAUGUGGAGAGAUGAAGGGUUGAGCAUUUAGAAGUGGAGAUUAAUGGUGGAGGGGAGUGGAUUGGAAUUACAAAGCUCAUUAAUUGAUAGAAUAUGAUGCAUGCAAUUAAAUGUGGAGAGAUGAAGGGUUUAGCAUAGCAUUUAGAAGUGAGGAUUAAUAGGGGAGGGGAGUGGAUUGGAGUUACAAAGCUCACUAAUUGGUGAAAUAUGGAGAGGUGAAGGAUUACGCAUUUAAAAGUGGAGAAGAAACUUAAAUUUUAUAUUGGGGAUUCAUAUAAGAGAUAUGGAGAAGUUUUAGGGUUUAUUACAACAACUAAUCUUUUAAUCUUCCAA